rnacentral:rRNA from 1 species
UACGGAGGGUGCAAGCGUUAAUCGGAAUCACUGGGCGUAAAGCGCGCGUAGGCGGCCGCGCAAGUCGGGUGUGAAAGCCCCGGGCUCAACCUGGGAAUUGCAUUCGAUACUAUGUGGCUUGAGUGUGGUAGAGGGAAGCGGAAUUCCGGGUGUAGCGGUGAAAUGCGUAGAUAUCCGGAGGAACAUCAGUGGCGAAGGCGGCUUCCUGGACCAACACUGACGCUGAGGCGCGAAAGCGUGGGGAGCAAACAGG